CACGUGGGUAACCUGCCUGUAAGAACUGGGAUAACUUCCGGGAAACCGGAGCUAAUACCGGAUAGUUCCUUGAACCGCAUGGUUCAAGGAUGAAAGACGGUUUCGGCUGUCACUUUACAGAUGGACCCGCGGCGCAUUAGCUAGUUGGUGGGGUAAUGGCUCACCAAGGCGACGAUGCGUAGCCGACCUGAGAGGGUGAUCGGCCACACUGGGACUGAGACACGGCCCAGACUCCUACGGGAGGCAGCAGUAGGGAAUCUUCCGCAAUGGACGAAAGUCUGACGGAGCAACGCCGCGUGAGUGAUGAAGGUUUUCGGAUCGUAAAGCUCUGUUGUUAGGGAAGAACAAGUGCGAGAGUAACUGCUCGCACCUUGACGGUACCUAACCAGAAAGCCACGGCUAACUACGUGCCAGCAGCCGCGGUAAUACGUAGGUGGCAAGCGUUGUCCGGAAUUAUUGGGCGUAAAGGGCUCGCAGGCGGUUUCUUAAGUCUGAUGUGAAAGCCCCCGGCUCAACCGGGGAGGGUCAUUGGAAA
rnacentral:rRNA from 1 species